UACGGAGGGUGCAAGCGUUAUCCGGAUUCACUGGGUUUAAAGGGUGCGUAGGCGGGCAGGUAAGUCAGUGGUGAAAUCUCCGGGCUUAACCCGGAACUGCCGUUGAUACUAUCUGUCUUGAAUAUCGUGGAGGUAAGCGGAAUAUGUCAUGUAGCGGUGAAAUGCUUAGAUAUGACAUAGAACGCCCAUUGCGAAGGCAGCUUACUACACGAUCAUUGACGCUGAGGCACGAAAGCGUGGGGAGCAAACAGG
rnacentral:rRNA from 1 species